rnacentral:RNase_P_RNA from 1 species
AGAGUAAGCGCAGGCGGUUGCAAACCAGUUCCUGGUGGCAACUGGUUUGAGGAAAGUCCGGGCUCCCGAAAGACCAAACUUGCUGGGUAACGCCCAGUGCGAGCGAUCGCGAGGAUAGUGCCACAGAAAGAUACCGCCAAUUAGUCAUUAGUCAUUAGUCAUUAGUCAUUUGUAAAAAAACAAAGGACAAUUGACAAAGGACAAUUGACAAAAUUGGUAAGGGUGCAAAGGUGCGGUAAGAGCGCACCAGCAGCGUCGAGAGGCGCUGGCUCGGUAAACCCCGGUUGGGUGCAAGGCGAAGGAACUAAGGUUGGUCUUUUACCAGUUCCAUUUUAGAGCCGCUAGAGGCGUCUGGUAACAGGCGUCCCAGAUAGAUAACUGCCCUCACAAGAGAACAGAACCCGGCUUAUGUCUAACUCUCUCC